CUUGCUGCUUGGAAUGCUGAUCUUAAGAGGAGGGAAAAGGAUAUAAAACGAAGGGAAGAUGUUGUUUCCCAAUUUGGUGUUUCCACAGAUGAUAAAAAUUGGCCGCCAAUUUUCCCAAUUAUACAUCAUGAUAUAGCUAAUGAGAUACCGGUUCAUGCUCAGAGACUGCAAUAUCUUGCAUUCGUAAGUUGGCUUAGUGUGUAAGUUUAU